rnacentral:rRNA from 1 species
GACGUAGGGGGCCAGCGUUGUUCGGAAUUACUGGGGGUAAAGGGUUCGUAGGCGGUGCGGCAAGUUGGGAGUGAAAUCUCUGGGCUUAACCCAGAGGCUGCUUCCAAAACUGCUGUGCUUGAGUGUGGGAGAGGCGCGUGGAAUUGCAGGUGUAGCGGUGAAAUGCGUAGAUAUCUGCAGGAACACCCGUGGCGAAAGCGGCGCGCUGGACCACUACUGACGCUGAGGCACGAAAGCGUGGGGAGCAAACAGG